rnacentral:rRNA from 1 species
UACGUUCCCGGGCCUUGUACACACCGCCCGUCACACCACGAGAGUUUGUAACACCCGAAGUCGGUGGGGUAACCUUUAUGGAGCCAGCCGCCUAAGGUGGGACAGAUGAUUGGGGUGAAGUCGUAACAAGGUAGCCGUAUCGGAAGGUGCGGCUGGAUCACCUCCUUU